AAAAAAACAAAUGUUGGCUCAAGUGGGAGCAACAAUUCUGAACAGAUCAGAUUUUAUUACCUUGGGACAUCCAAAUGAUGUUGGAGGCACUAUUUUGAAUGCCUGCCUUUCAAUGGUCAGAGAUAUUGCUGAUUUAAAGAACAUAAAGGUCCAUUGUUUUAGCUCAUAUGUGACAGUGUCAUGGUUGCCACCAUUGUGUGCAGACCCUUCAGCUAACUUACCUGUAAGUAUGACUGAAAUUUUUAAUAGAAGUUAACUAGGGUCAUUUUAAGUGGCAUUUAAAAAUGUUUGUCGUCUGUAUAAUGACCAUAUAGCAGAAUGUGACUUCAUCGUACUGCCUUCCUGGAAAUCAAAUCAUUGGAUGAUAUGUAGUACUUGCACAGCAACUACAUCCUGGGCAGUGGAAAGAGUAUGGACGUGAUGAUCUCAACGGUGCUCCAAGGCAGAAUUGUUCAAAUAACUGUGGAGUUUUGUGUUGAUGGUAGGAAGAAUUGUUUAACAAUAAGUAAUGUUUUUUUUCCUUGAUAGCUUUGUCAGAUUGCGGUCUUUCAUUGUUAAUUUAUUUUUUAGUUUAUGAGCAAAAUCAAUAUCCAACAAACUUAAGAUAUUGAUACAGUCAAACAAAACCAUUUAAUUAAAGUUCAUUACUAUUGUUUAUGUAUGUUUUCAUGUAACUUACUGUUAAUGUUACAGUACGCACUCUAUGUUGUAAUGGGAGGCGUCUUUUAUUUUGCUGAGGUGAGCUAUCAAAACUAAUAAUUUGGGAAAAAGUUUAUUCUCAAAGGGUGAUUGUGAUUUACAUUAAGCAUAUUUUCCAGUCUGACAUGGCUGCAGUAAGGAGAUGGUGGUGCUUGGUCUUGCUAUCAAAUUAUCCUGUGAAGUAAGCCUAUUUCCAAGUUCUUCCAAUAAAUAAAACAUAUUUAUUAAUAGUACUAGGUGAUGGAGGAGUAAAAGUAGCAGUUUUUAUCCUCUCUUUAAUAAUGUU